UUGAACGCUGGCGGCAUGCCUUACACAUGCAAGUCGAACGGCAGCACGGGAGCAAUCCUGGUGGCGAGUGGCGAACGGGUGAGUAAUGUAUCGGAACGUACCUUUCAGUGGGGGAUAACGUAGCGAAAGUUACGCUAAUACCGCAUAUUCUGUGAGCAGGAAAGCAGGGGAUCGCAAGACCUUGCGCUGAUUGAGCGGCCGAUAUCAGAUUAGCUAGUUGGUGAGGUAAAGGCUCACCAAGGCGACGAUCUGUAGCUGGUCUGAGAGGACGACCAGCCACACUGGAACUGAGACACGGUCCAGACUCCUACGGGAGGCAGCAGUGGGGAAUUUUGGACAAUGGGCGCAAGCCUGAUCCAGCCAUACCGCGUGAGUGAAGAAGGCCUUCGGGUUGUAAAGCUCUUUCAGCCGGAAAGAAAACGCAUCCCCUAAUACGGGGUGUGGAUGACGGUACCGGAAGAAGAAGCACCGGCUAACUACGU
rnacentral:rRNA from 1 species